rnacentral:rRNA from 1 species
UCUCUAUUCUUAUNAUAAUCACAUUUUCCACAACUUUAUCUUAUCACAGAUACACAAAAAGGCUAACGGCUAGAUAAUAUAUCUACUCGAAAUCCUUUAUAUUAGUUCNUUCUAAAUCCUAAUUUAAUAUUAUUAAAAACCACCAUCUAUUCNUACUGUUCGUACCUACAAGAAAAAUACCACUCUAAGACCAGCUCGCAAUAUCACCUUACACCCUAAAUCAACAGCAUUUAACUUAUCCCUACCUUUCAUUUCUCACUAAAAUUACUCGCAAAACAUAUAAACUAACAAAUUUCCUCCAUAUUUCUUAUUACAUUUACUGUAUUUCUCUUAUCUUUUCUAAUAUAAUCCAUCUUUCUUCCUCAUCUAAAAUAUAUUACACCACUACCACUCAACACUAAACCCUGGUCCUUAAGAUAGGGUGACAUCAACUAUUACCUUCUUACUCUCCCCUCAUUUCUAUAUCUUCCC